rnacentral:rRNA from 1 species
CAGUCGCCACGGUAAUACGUAGGGUGCGAGCGUUAAUCGGAAUUACUGGGCGUAAAGCGUGCGCAGGCGGUUAUAUAAGACAGAUGUGAAAUCCCCGGGCUCAACCUGGGACCUGCAUUUGUGACUGUAUAGCUAGAGUACGGUAGAGGGGGAUGGAAUUCCGCGUGUAGCAGCGAAAUGCGUAGAUAUGCGGAGGAACACCGAUGGCGAAGGCAAUCCCCUGGACCUGUACUGACGCUCAUGCACGAAAGCGUGGGGAGCAAACAGGAUUAGAUACCCGUGUAGUCCCUGUCUCUUAUAC